CCCACAAUCAGUGGCCACCGUGUACUCAAAGUGGAACACCAGGGACCAGAUGAUGCAGAAGAAGAAGCCGAAGAUGGGAAAAGUGGCGACCCACCAGAAGACGGCUGUGAAGCGGUGUCGGAACACAGUCCCGUCGGGGUCCAAGGGCUGGGAGGCCGCAGAGAACAUCCUGUAGGGAGUGGUGCCCAGGAAGAAGACUGUCACUCAGUCCAAGGACUGGGGAAUCCAGGGGUCACAGGAACCGUCUUAAUUCAGCUUGAGCAUGCUGUGCUGGGCAAGACCCAGGAAAGGAGACUCGAACCCAGAACCCAGAGCUCCACGCCUGCCCAGGCACACAGCCUUCCCUGGAUGGACAAAGCCAUGUCAUAAAUCUCAGAACAUUCUGCAAAGUAAUGGGAAGCUGGCUUAAAGUGAGGAAGAAAGAGAGCCAGAGGAGCAAAGGAGAGAUUCAUCAGAAAGUGAGUGAGGGCCUCCGCAGUGGCGCAGCAGUUGAGCGCUGGGCAGCGAAGCUGCCCGCAGCCUCUGCAGCAACGGUUCGAUCCCUGGCCACUGGUGAGGGUCCCACAUGGCAUGACAGACCUCUCCUGCCACGCCCGCUGCUCCCCUCAGCAGUGUACUUCGUCACUCUGCCUGUUCUGUUCCCCGCUCUGUCUCUGGUGAAUCCUCUCACCCACCCGCACUUCUGACUGUACCCAGUGCUUGUAUAAAUAAAUAAAUCU